rnacentral:rRNA from 1 species
GAUCAUGGCUCAGGAUGAACGCUAGCGGCAGGCUUAACACAUGCAAGUCGAGGGGCAGCACGUCUUCGGAUGGUGGCGACCGGCGCACGGGUGCGUAACGCGUAUAGAACCUACCUUUUACAGGGGAAUAGCCCAGAGAAAUUUGGAUUAAUGCCCCAUAGUAUUAUUGAAUGGCAUCAUUUAAUAAUUAAACAUUUAUGGGUAAAAGAUGGCUAUGCGUUCUAUUAGCUAGUAGGUAAGGUAACGGCUUACCUAGGCAACGAUAGAUAGGGGUCCUGAGAGGGAGAUCCCCCACACUGGUACUGAGACACGGACCAGACUCCUACGGGAGGCAGCAGUGAGGAAUAUUGGACAAUGGGCGAGAGCCUGAUCCAGCCAUGCCGCGUGCAGGAAGACGGUCCUAUGGAUUGUAAACUGCUUUUAUACAGGAAGAAACACUCGGACGUGUCCGAGCUUGACGGUACUGUAUGAAUAAGCACCGGCUAACUCCGUG